rnacentral:sRNA from 1 species
UCAUUGCACACACGAGAAGCAAACCCACGGCGAACGCAACAUUGUCCCCCCCCCCCCCUCUUCAAUUAAGAGUUGGGUGGGCGCAUCGUGUCCCGCGUCCCCGGGCGCGUGGGCACCUUGUCGUCCCCCCCGACUCGGUUGGCGCGAUGCACAUCCCAUUCUGAGCAUGACUGAGUCCCUGUGAGAUCUGUUCUUAUUUUGGCGGGGGGGCGCUGGUCCCCCCGCCCGAGUUGAAAGAUUUUCGUGGUCGUAAGUAAACCUAAAACACAACUCUCAGCAACGGAUAUCUUGGCUCCUGCAACGAUGAAGAACGCAGCGAAAUGCGAUACGUAGUGUGAAUUGCAGAAUUCCGCGAAUCAUCGAGUCUUUGAACGCAAGUUGCGCCCGAGGCUUGUCCGAGGGCAUUUCCGCCAGAGCGUCACCGCGCGCCCCCCACCGAGUCGGGCCAAUUGCGUGAAAGUGUGCCCGUCCCGCCUCGCGAGGCCGGGUCGGGUGAAAUGGAGGGAAUUUGGCCGGCGUGGUGGCGCAGUCCGCGAUCAGGUGAUCCGUAAAAGGAAACGUGUGCGGCUGCGUCCCCCAGUUUGGCGAGAGCAAGUUCCGAAGCAGGUCCUCCCCGCGGCGCGGAGCGCCGCGAGGGAACUGAGUGACGCAUCAGA